GGUCCGCCGCUGAGAGGAGAGCGUCGGCUUCUCAAAUUCCUCUCUGGGGUUGUGAUACCACCCAUCGUUUUCUUCUUAGAAGAGGAAGGAUGGUAGGAGAAGGUACGACAAUUUGGGGGGCGGAGGAGGAGUUUGGGAAAGGGAGAGGCGCGGAGGAGUGGAAGCAUAUGAGAGAGGAGUUUCUGAAGAGGUUUCGACAGGGAAAGAAGUGGAGCAGUUUGGCUUCUCCGGGAGGAGACGAGACGGCCGGUUCCCGGUCGGCCAUUCAAACCGGCCACCGCGAGCCCUUCCUUCUUUGUACCUCUCGCCGUCCUCUCGCGCCGGUUCCCGUGGCUCGCACGAGUCAAAAAGGUCC
rnacentral:lncRNA from 1 species